UCCUCUCCCAUUCCUCUCUCCUUCGAAAUGGCGAGUCAUCGGGCACACAUGACGAGGAGGAUGUUACGAGGAGGAGCGAGGAAUUCUACGAGGCGAUGAACGGGCCUUAGUUUUUUUUUUCGGUUUAUGUAUUAUAAAAUCCAAAACUUAUUUAUAUAUAAAAUAUUUUGUUGCA